UGUAGCUCAGUGAUAGGGCAUUUGCUUAGCACAAAGAUCUGGGUUCAAUUCCCAGCA
rnacentral:tRNA from 1 species